GUUUAAGUUAGUGGGCAGGUAGAAAAAUCCGCUGGUACUGUAAUAGAGGGUAAUGUCACUUUAAGACAUGUGAUACUUUACCGAGCAGGGAUGUAUCGAAACAGACUACUGAUACUUCAGGGCACCGUCUAGCAGCAGUCCAGCUCUCUCGGAACAGAGCGAGUUGCCUGAUUGCACUGAAGGCAGGGGAACAGGGAUGGUCCCUCAUUAAGACGAAACUGAUUUUCAUCUGCAAGUACCCCGGGAACUAUACAUUACCUCAAGAUCCCUCCAAAGGGCUCAUCGCACAGAGGGACCACUAGCAGAUGAUUUAAAGGUGAAGAUGACAAGGUUUCCACCCCUCAAACCUUGGCUACUUUUCUGACAACGCGAUCUGAGCUCUGAUGUCUUCUUUAUUCUGGAAAUAGGAUUGAUAACAAGAAAAAGAAAGAAAGAAAUCGCUCUCCUUUUUUAAUCCCGAUAAAGAAGAUUAUUGAAAACCUCUGAUUGUGGUCCCUACACAUGGAUUUUAAAAAGUGUUAGAUCUUUCCAAUGAACACUAAUAGAGCAUUCUGCUCCUGGUUGGAUUACUCAGAGUAUGGCUAUGGUCUCUGCAAUGUCCUGGGUCCUGUAUUUGUGGAUAAGUGCUUGUGCAAUGCUCCUCUGUCAGGGAUCUCUUCAUCACACUUUCCAACAGCAUCACCUGCACAGACCAGGAGAAAAUGAGGAAGGCCCCCAGCAUGUGAUGUGGCAGACCUAUGGAGGAUUUGGACAAGAGUCUCCCAGGAUAGAUUUUCCACCACAUGCCAGGGGAAAGUUGGGUAAGUUGUCAUAUAUACUCACUUCCACGUGACUACAGCUUAAUAGGUGAGAUGGUCAGUUACAAAAAUGCCAAUUUGUUUAGUCUGGUUUUCUAAUAAAAACUUUCUGGAAUUCA
rnacentral:lncRNA from 1 species